UACGUAGGGGGCAAGCGUUGUCCGGAAUUAUUGGGCGUAAAGAGCUCGUAGGCGGCCUGUUGCGUCCGCUGUGAAAGCCCGGGGCUUAACCCCGGGUCGGCAGUGGAUACGGGCAGGCUAGAGGUAGGUAGGGGAGAAUGGAAUUCCCGGUGUAGCGGUGAAAUGCGCAGAGAUCGGGAGGAACACCCGUAGCGAAGGCGGCACUCUGGGCCGGUACUGACGCUGAGGAGCGAAAGCGUGGGGAGCAAACAGG
rnacentral:rRNA from 1 species